GUUUUGCGUUAACGAUAGAAGUGGCAUCCUUUUUUUGCACUAACCAUUUAGCAAAUAGCAAAAAAAGAUAUAGCGGAUAGCGUGUUAAAAC
rnacentral:sRNA from 1 species